GUGAGAAGGGAGGAUAGCCACAACAACAUUCUUUUGCCAGAGCUCAAGGCCGAGUCGCUGGAGUAUGGAGGGGAAUAAGUGGACUUGGCAGGAGUUCAGAAUGGAGGUGGAUUGGAGAGUGUGACUUGAGGCUCAUCAAGAGGGGCUGGG